AUUGUCAAAGCACUUUCAUGGCAGCUGCUUUAAUGCUCUUAUCAGUUAACUCCAACCUUAGAGUCAUAUUCAUUUGCUUAGCUUUUUUCAUUUGAAUAGUGUUUUGCCUGUUUCUUGGUGUGGCCAGCGAUUCUCCAUUGUGUCGUGCAUUUGUUGCCUAUUUUGUUGGGCAGUUGUCUUCCACUGAAACCUCCUAUUCAGCAAGACUGUUUGAGUGUACUUUCAGCACUUAGGGCCUGGCAUACAUUUGUGAGCUGUGGCUGUAGUGACAGUUGAGUUCCUCGAGCUUUCCUGGUAAUACCAGUGAGUUUUUGAGAGCUGUGGCUUCUACCAUGCUGCUGGACCAUACAUUCACUCUUUCAUCCAGUGAGCACUUAGGGGGAUGCAAGGAUGUUUUCUAUGUUCUGUGUGCUCAAGGUAACAUGGAAGGAGACAGGCUAACAAUCAUGAUAUGUGAUAUCAAGAAGUAUGAUAAUGGUGGUCUGUGCAAAAUACCACCAGAUGUGAAAUUUAGAGAGGAGAAUGGUUAUUAAUUUGCUGGUGUGUGUGGAACAGGGACUUUCAGUGCAGAUCUGGCUGCCCAGCCAUGGGAGAGAAGCGGAGCUGGAGACAGAGAGGGGACAGGGCUAGGAGGAUUGGUCAAGCACACCAGGGUGCUGAGUCUUGGCCAAGACACUACUGGGCCCUCUGAAGGAUCACUGUUCCAUUGUUCAGCCAUUGUACAAGUCCCUCAUAGUCAAACUCCAGCUUGUCUACUUUAUAUUUCCACCAGCUCCAGGUACCUCAUACAUGCUGGCCCUUAUUCCCUCCAGAGCCUUCCUUGAGCUGUUCUUAGCCUGGGAUCAAGGGUUGCUGAGCUCCAGUUUAAAAACAGCCUGCCCCAUGAAACCUGUCUUAGUUACCCCUGCCCAUGAAACCUAAUGGUUAUGCACUCUCAGCCCUCUUGGGUGGAGUCACUGGGGCCAUAUGCCUUUUCACUUGGGAUUUGUGGAUGAAGGUCCAAGAGUGUGUCCGGUCUCACAUACUGUCUCGAUUAAAUAGGGCUCCAGGACACAGAAAGGAUUGGGAGGAACUGGAGCUCACUCUCAGGGCUCAGAAUCUUGAGAAGAUGCCAUGUGGAAAGAGACCCUUGCAUAGGCAUUUUGAUCUUCUAACUUUGCACACAGCAGUGCACGAAAGGAGCUGCUUCAGGUCUCUUCUGGUUCCAGAUGAAAUUUAGGAGUGAUUUCUCUAGAUCUAAAAGCUACUGAGACUCUGGCACCAUGCUACCCCAAGCCACUGGGCCUGCAGAACCAAUGACGCUCUUCUGCCUCCUCAGAACUCUGAAGUUCCAGACAAGCUGGGCCUCAGGGACACUGUGCGCCCACCUGCCCCUUGGAAGCACCACAGCUCUCCAAUCGCAGCCUAUGUGGAUGCGGAUGUAGACGCCUCAAACCCACCUCUCCACUUCACUGCAUCUGGAAGCCUGGAGGGACCCAAACAGUCUGGGCUCUGGGCAGAGUGUGCUGAGCACUCACCACAGGCUGCAGGGCCUCCGGAACCUGUGAUGCUCCACCGCCCGCAGAGACAUCCACAGUCCCCCAGACACACAGGGAGGCCGAUGCAGGAGCCCCAGAUCCACCCAGCCCCUCCUCUGCACACCGAUGGCUAGGUGCAGCAGUCCAAAACAGGCUCACACCCUUGAUUUUUGCAUUUAGGUCUCUAAUCCCUCAGGGAUUGGAUUUUUGUGUCUGGUGUAAAGAUCCAAUUUCUUUUUUCCCUCUGUUUCUGAAUGGAUAAUCAGUUACCACCACACUGUUUAUUAAAGAGUCCAUCUUUUCCUGCUGA